rnacentral:lncRNA from 1 species
GACGUGAGACAACACAGGAUGAACGCGCGCAACUCUCAGGUGAGUUUGUGCGGUGGUUUUUCUCUCUAUUAUUUUCUUUCUGCUCAAGUCUUAGAGAUUACAGUAUUUAAGCCACGCUUGGCCGACCCACACCAAUCUCCAUAGCUAUGAGAAUACGGCCCAACAACGGCCCACACAACCACACACGCCCAAUGCUGCGCAACCAGCAACCUCUUGCCUUUCUCUUCUCUGAUGACGCCUUGUCAGUUAGGCACAGGCCUGACAUUGAGGCAAUGAUAUUGGUAAGUAUCUGCGCUAGGAUGCUCUCUGUCCUCCUCUCGUUGCUUAGCGCACGUUUGAUUGAAGUGAGGGCUUUAGGCGCGCGGGUUGGCGGUUCCCCAGUGUGAUCGCCGCCGUGCGGUGUGCGCGCGCCGCCGCCCUGGGCCGUCGGAAGUAGGAGACAUGCCUGGUCCGUUGGUUGCGCGAUGUGUGGCGGCGAUUAUGUCGAACAUACCGUUUCGUCCGGGUAAUUAGUGUCCGUUGGAUCAAGAGAUCGUGGAUAGGAUUAAAUUGCGCUUCUUUAAGACCACAACCGUCGAUCUGUGAUCUGACGGCCUCAGACUAGUACCGCUUCAUCCCAUCCGCGAUCUAAUCUAGGCCGUAGAAUUAGAUCUAGGCGGCCAGGAUCUCUGCGUACCCCUUCACCAUAGCUAACUUACAAAAUAGCCCCUGCACUUGUGUUAAACCAACCCGCAGUCCAUUGUACUGUGCUCUGUGUCUUAGUUAUUUAGUGCCAGGGCCCCUAUGCUUUCCUGUAUUCGUGGUGCAGUCUAGGAAUUAAAGAAAAUAGGAAAAAGAGAUUUAGAAGUUGAUUUUGAGUAUAAAAAUAAUUGUGAAACUUAUAUAAUUCAUAGAAAAUGCAUAUGAACUCCAAAUUGGUCCAUUCCAAUUUCUAUAAUUUUGUAAUAAUGUUGUUUAUCACCUAUUGUCUCUAUUUUAACAUGAAAAUGGUAUUAAAAUUUAUCUCUUAAUUAAUCUCAUAUCAAAUACACAAAACCUUAGGAAAUUCGUAUCUCCUCCGUGUUAAAUCCGAUUUGACUCGUUACAGUUGCGAUAGCUUCGUAUAAAUAUCUACUACACAAUAGCAACAUUUAUUAUAUGAUAUCCCAUACUUUUAUAAUUGGGUUAAUCUAUGUCUAUUGGAUUAACUUAUUUAAUAUUAAUAUAUAGUAUUCUAAUUUUAUGGUUAUAAUUCAACUAGAUAAUCUUUAAUCAAAUGAUGACUUGGAUUAAAUUUGAGAUAAUUAUUUAUAGAAUAUUUUCUCAUAUGAUCUAUACUAACCAAUUUAUAAUAUAGUUUAAUAUUUUAAUCACAUAGAUCUUCUAUAAAAUCAUAACUCCUUAACCGUAACUCCGAUUUUAGUGGUUCAUGUCCCCACGAUCUCGUAGCAACACGUAGAUUAUUAUUAUACAGUAUGUUCUUAUGUUUGGUGUGAUGUUAAUUUUGUCUAUACCAUGUCUGUUUAUAUUGCUACGACUAGCAGUGAGAUCACGAGGAUCUGAAGAAUCACCCUGAUAACUGGAAUCUCAAGUGCCAGGCAAGUUGUGCCCUUGAUCACAUUUGUUACCCAAUAAUGUUCUUUAUUAUCUCUUAUUCAAUGCAUAGGUUUAAUUUUGAUGGGACCCAAUAGGUCACCCUAAUUUGUUUAUCCUGUUUACCUUGUUUAUCCCUGAAUCAAUUGGGUAGUUAUGCUAUUGCUUUAUAUGGUUUUGGGAUAAUAUUUCAUUACAUCCAUGUUCCAAUUAUUUUGUUAUGUUAUUUAUGUUCAUGAUAAGAUCAUUAUGUUAAUCGGAACAUGGAGCGACCACCCGGGAAAACAGUGCUACCACAAGGGUUUAGUGGGACGCUCUUGGCUGAUUAACUAGGAAAGCUAGUGGAUGACUACCUUACCCGAAAGGGGCAAGGGCAGUAGGGGAGUGGUCAGUGUAGGGAGGUCCUUGGGUUGAUUUUGCUGCGAUGGCGGUCAGGCGAGGGAUUCCUGCACUGGAGCUUCCUAUAAACUGUAGCGGGUUUUCUGAAGCUAGUGGAACUUUGUAAAGGCCUCGUAGUGUUACCCUGCCUCGCUUCCUUGGUAGAGGUGUAUGGGAUUCAUGACCCCUUGGCAGAUGGGUAACACGGCUUGUGGGUAAAGAUGCGCAACCUCUGCAGAGUGUAAAACUAGUAUACUAGCCGUGCUCACGGUCAUAAGCGGCUCGGACCCUCACAUGAUUAAUUUAUGGAACCUAAUUCAAUUUGUCAUUUGCAUUGCAUGAGAUUUGUUCUUAAUUUUGUUCUAUUAUUUAUUAUGGUUUGGUAUUUACUUACACCUAGUAAUUGCUAAUAAAAUUUUGACUAACUUUAAAAGCAAUGUUCAACUUUAACCAUUCUCUUUGGUAAGCCUUACACUUCAUAUGAUCUCCCACCUUUGGUGAGUUCAUGCCACAUUAUUCCCCACAACUUGUUGAGCGAUGAACAUGUGUGAGCUCACCCUUGCUGUCUCACACCCCCCCACAGGAGAAGAACAGGUGGUUCAAGAGGAGCCGCAUAUCGAGGAGUUCGAUUCGAUCUAGGUGGUGUCUCCCAGUCGACUUUCUGGCGCCAAUGAUAGAUUUUAGAUCCUGUUAUAUUUAUCUUGUAUUUCGUAAGACUUCCGCUAUGUAAUAAGUACUCUGAUUAUUGUGAUAUUUAUC